rnacentral:rRNA from 1 species
GCAAGUCGUACGUGAAAGUGGACUUCGGUCCGCGAGUAAAGUGGCGCACGGGUGAGUAACACGUGGAUAAUCUACCCGACAAUCAGGGAUAACAUUCCGAAAGGGAUGCUAAUACCUAAUAAGCCCACGACGUCUUCGGACGAUGUGGGAAAAGGUGGGGACCUUCGGGCCUGCCGUUGUCGGAUGAGUCCGCGGCCCAUUAGCUAGUUGGUAGGGUAAUGGCCUACCAAGGCUACGAUGGGUAGCUGGUCUGAGAGGAUGAUC